AUGCGAGUAAAUACGGUAAUAGGCUGUUUUUGGUUUCGUGCACUCUAUGUUAAGGGAUGCAAAUGGUGACAUACAACAGAAUGCAAAAAUGACUAAUGAAUUCAAGCAGGGCAUGGGGCUUUUUAGGCAGAUGCGUGCGUGUGCUAUUUAUAAAGCUCCCCAUGGUAUGCCUGAAGGCAUUUUCUAACACUUUGGUAGAAUACACUGACACCCCCUUAUUAACUCUUCGAAACAACUCUUUUAUAUAUUUGUACUAGAGAUUUGAAUAUACUGUCAUUCAUAAAGUGUUUUAUUAGAUUUGAAUUGUCAUUUAUUUUUGUGUAGCUGCUGUUUUUCAGUUAUGUCCUACACAGUGGCAAAAUAUUUUUGUGGGCACUUUCCUGUGUAUAAAAUUUUCAGAAAUAGCUUCAUGCUGUAUCUUAUUUAGCUACUCGUAUACUGCAAAGUGGUGAUACCUAUCCAAACGGCUUGUACAAUUACUGGAACUAUGCAAAAAUAUAUUAGGCCACAUUAAAUAAUUUUACAGAUUGCAAUUUCAAUUAGAUAUCAGCAUUCUGCAUAUCUUGAAGAGUACGUAUGCCAAAUUUCGAAGUAUAGGACAACUAUAAGUGCAUAAGAAGUAUGCAAGAUUAGUAGGCAGGCCUCUCUGCCUGCCUACUAAUUUUGCAUACUUCUAGUAACUUUACAUGCUCUUUGAAUAGAUAUCGGCACUUUGCAGUCUACAAAGAGCUGAGGUAGCUACAGCACACUGCUUUUUGUGAAAAUUUACACAAGAAAGUGCCCGCAAAGAUCAGUGUAUUUUCCCAUUGUGUAGGACAUAACUCAAGAAGCAGCUAAAGAAAUACUAAUGACAUAUAUGACAUCUGCAUGAAGAACUCUACAAUUUGCUCUCUUUUCAAGCCUCUAGCACGAAUAAUAAGACUGUUUCGAGUAAUAUUCAAUCAGCAAAACAUGCCCCUUGCUAUAGUGACCUACAACAUAGAAACGCAAAUUGAACGCAAGUCUUUUUGUUGAAGCGACUCUGGGCUGUCUUCCCAAGGGCUUCUGUUAAACACUGAAAUUUCCUGCAUUUACCAGAAGUGCAAUACUCAAAUGUUUGUGUAUGUGCAAUUGGUAUUGGCAAACUAACAGAAAAAAAGACAGUUCUGUGAAAUGAAGAAUUGACUAUAACUUUGUUCGACAUUUACAUUUUGACUCCAUAUCUUUGUUUUGUGCUUUGUACUGAGUGUUUCAGCAGUGACUGCCGCUAAAAAUUGAACAUAACUGCUUCAUGACAAUGCGACAAUUUUCGCUAACAGAAAUUUAUAGCAGUGGCAGGCAUUAUAAUUACCGUACUCAAUAACGUCUAGUUUGUAAGAACUCAGACUAGCACCAGUUCCGAGAUACACAACCCAAAAAGACAUGAUCAGAAAGGUUUAUCUUCCACACAGAAUUGUCCCAUAAAGCUUACAAAAUGUUUUGUGGCUAAGUAAUAUCUGCAACAGCAAAGCAUGUUCCACCAAGUAUGGCGAUAAAUAUUUCAGAGCUGUCAGUCUGAGGACUCCUACAAACUAACAAUACCUUCAGCACUGACUAGCCUCAAUAAUAGGAGGUCAGCCAUUUUGCUGAAAUUAAUAAAACUUCAAUUAUUGUGAUCUUGUUUACGAAAACAUUUGCAAUUGUAAUUCAGUUCUAGUAUCUGUCACUUUUGUAAAUAUUUUCCAAUUAGUUUUUCAGACUACAAUUUUUGGUAAUAGAGGUAUUCAUUGCAGAAAGAUCUAGUACAUGGCACUUAAUAAUAAAGGUACUGGUCAUCGUAGACUUUCUGUUGCACAGCUGUUUCUUGAAAUCUGAAAGGAUGUACCCGCCUCCUUAUGUUAGCUAGAAACGGAAAUCUGUCAGUAUGUUUUGUUUAAAAUACAGCUGAUCAACCCGAUAGUUAGGCUGCUUGCCAAAUAUAAAUUAUAACGAUAAUAGUGAAGGACCAUAAUAACAGAGUGAUGCUGACUCAUAACUAUGCCCAGCUACAUCCACGCAGCUGUGCCAUACAAUGUGCAUGUGUUCAGAAGAGCCAAAUGCCCCAGAGAGAAAGCAACAGUAACUCAUUGUUUGUCAUCUUGUUCAAGCAGAUUAUGCGCUAGCUGUAAUUUAUGCUCAGUAAAUACAUAAAUCAGUCAUGUCAGGUGUCUUACUUUAGGUUGCAAGUUCGAAGUUCUUGUAAUCUUGCUUGUUUUUAUUUUGUUUUCUUUGUGAGAAUGAGUCACUUGGUUGCCUUCGCACAUAUUCUCAAAACUGUUUCAUCACUGGGAAUCAGGAAAUUUAAUUUGCAUAUGAAAUUCCCAGUUACUAAUUUGGUAGGCUUUGAGCUUAAUUCUCUUAUCUUUUAUAUGUUUAUCUACCAAGUAGUCUUAUCGUUCAUUGAAACAUAUCCAUGUAAUGCAGAGAGGGCACCCAAAUUAUAAAUAUCUCUUCUUGCUUUCUACCCUGCUCUGGUGUUUUCAAAACCUAGCAUUGGUGCAAUGGCCUGUCUGCAGAAAAGUAGUAAAGUGGCUAAAUUUAAAGGUCAACAACAUAAUUAAGAUACAAAGCAAAAAUAUAAGUUCGCAAUUGUCCCCCAUAACGAGAGUUCUGCUUAGAAUUUUAAAAAAAAUUGACAUCCUGCUGUGGUGUGAGAAUUGCUUUGGGUUCCAAGGGGACUACGUAGCACCUGUACUAGUGUAUACAAAGCAAAAAAAAAAGAUCACUCCAGAUUGGAGCGGCAGUGGGAAGUCAAGCACAGAUGCUUUAUUUCACGCACCAUUAAUGUGGUUUAUCAUCUGCUCCUGUUGUAUGGGAAUGCAUACAUUGGGAAGACAAUCCUUUGCGCCAUUGUUACCUUAGCGGGACACCAGAGAAAGGUAGAAAUCGAGAACAGGUAUUCACACUUGGUUGCCCACAGUGUGUUAUUUGGAUGUGUUUCACUCUACAAAAGACUACUGUGGUAGGUAAUCAUAAUGACAAAGACAAAAGAAUUAAAAGAGGUAUGUGUCUGUCAUCCGUCCGUGACCUCCAGUGUUUAUAGAAACACUUCUUUGUGUAUAUGUGCCAAGCCGUAGGGAGGCUUUACGUAACUCAGUCAUGCUUGCUAAGCUAAAGAUUGGAAUAAGGAAAAUCACAAGAACAUUGUAUGAGUGAUUUAUAAAUGUGGCACCUAAAGUAACUUAUUCAUGUAUGUCCUGAGGAUAGAUUACAGCCAGUGCAUAAUGUGCUCUUACAGGAUGACUUGUGAUGAGUAAAAGAAGCCUUCCUCACAUCUUCCUCUUUGUUUCUUUUGGAUCUUUGUGCACUAUGUGUAUUGUUACAGCUGCGUGCAUGCAGCUGGGUAUAGUUUGUUUAUGUGUUCUGCUUCCCCUCUUGUACUCAUCAUUCAUGCGCUAUCUUUGCCGUAACAAAAUACAGCUGCCUGUGCUACUUAUUUUGUCAACGUGUUUGGAUUAUGGAAAGUUUUGUAUUAGCGGUUAUUUCUACCUGUGAAAUUGUCUGUGUCAGCUAUUUUACUUAGUCUUGCAAAAGUAUGCUUCUCAACAUAAAUAAAUGAUCAGUGUAAGUGUUGCUGUAUUUAUUUUUGUAAUUUUGUCAGUUAUGAGGUUUUUAUACACUGUUGCAUGUUGUAUGACAGAAUAAAAUUGAUGCACAACUUUUUAA